AGGUCAAAUCACGUUGAAAACACCGGUUCUCGUUCGAUCACCGAAGUUAAGCAUCGUAGAGCCAGGUCAGUACUUAGAUGGGGGGACCGCUUGGGAACACCUGGUACUGUAAGC
rnacentral:rRNA from 1 species